GAUGAACGCUAGCGGCAGGCCUAAUACAUGCAGGUCGGACGGGAUCGGGGAGCUUGCUCCCCGUGAGAGUGGCGCACGGGUGCGUAACACGUAUGUAACCUACCUUUAUCAGGGGGAUAGCCUCUCGAAAGAGAGAUUAACACCGCAUAACAUCACAUGAUAGCAUUAUCGAGUGAUCAAAUAUUCAUAGGAUAAAGAUGGGCAUGCGGGACAUUAGCUAGUUGGCGGGGUAACGGCCCACCAAGGCGACGAUGUCUAGGGGAUCUGAGAGGAUGACCCCCCACACUGGUACUGAGACACGGACCAGACUCCUACGGGAGGCAGCAGUAAGGAAUAUUGGUCAAUGGACGCAAGUCUGAACCAGCCAUGCCGCGUGCAGGAGGACGGCCAUACGGGUUGUAAACUGCUUUUGUACCGGAAUAAACCCUUUUACGUGUAAGAGGCUGAAUGUACGGUAAGAAUAAGGAUCGGCUAACUCCGUGCCAGCAGCCGCCGUAAAAC
rnacentral:rRNA from 1 species